rnacentral:rRNA from 1 species
CAGUAGCCACGGGAAUACGAGGGGGGCAAGCGUUGUUCGGAAUUAUUGGGCGUAAAGAGUGCGUAGGCGGUCUGAUAAGUCUUAUGUGAAAUCUCUGGGCUCAACCCAGAGUCUGCAUGGGAAACUGUCGAGCUUGAGUAUGGGAGAGGUGAGUGGAAUUUCCGGUGUAGCGGUGAAAUGCGUAGAUAUCGGAAGGAACACCUGUGGCGAAAGCGGCUCACUGGACCAUUACUGACGCUGAUGCACGAAAGCUAGGGGAGCAAACAGGAUUAGAUACCCGCGUAGUCCCUGUCUCUUAUAC